rnacentral:rRNA from 1 species
UGGGGAAUCUUCCGCAAUGGACGAAAGUCUGACGGAGCAACGCCGCGUGAGUGAUGACGGCCUUCGGGUUGUAAAGCUCUGUUAAUCGGGACGAAUGGUUCUUGUGCAAAUAGUGCGAGGAUUUGACGGUACCGGAAUAGAAAGCCACGGCUAACUACGUGCCAGCAGCCGCGGUAAUACGUAGGUGGCAAGCGUUGUCCGGAAUUAUUGGGCGUAAAGCGCGCGCAGGCGGAUUGGUCAGUCUGUCUUAAAAGUUCGGGGCUUAACCCCGUGAUGGGAUGGAAACUGCCAAUCUCGAGUAUCGGAGAGGAAAGUGGAAUUCCUAGUGUAGCGGUGAAAUGCGUAGAUAUUAGGAAGAACACCAGUGGCGAAGGCGACUUUCUGGACGAAAACUGACGCUGAGGCGCGAAAGCCAGGGGAGCGAACGGG